GUACCAAUGGCUUAAUGGUAAAGCACUUCCUUUUAAGGGAGAGAUCCAUGUUCGACUCAUGGAAGGUACACCA
rnacentral:tRNA from 1 species